rnacentral:lncRNA from 1 species
AUGAACUUUGGGGGACAGAUUCAAACCAUAGCAUUUAGCUAGAUUGAGAAAGGAAGGACCUGGAUGUAGAUAUCAUGAGGCAUUCUUUCUCUCUUUUCCCUCUCUACCACACCAGGAAUUUUAAAGGCAUAGAAAUGCUAAAGUUUCCUACCCUUGAACCUCAAAGAUCCCCUGAUGAUGCAGCUGCAGGCAUCCUGGAUAACAAUCCAUGAGCAAGACAAGAAAACCAUGGCCAAUUGCUGAUCCCACGUGUGUACUAACUAUCCUGUAAGUAAAACUUUGGAAAAGAAAAGAAGGCUAGUGCAGCUAGAGCAUACUAAUGUGAUGGAGACAAGUACUGGGCAAAUAAUUCACACAGAUGCAAGAGUUACAAGGAGGGAAAAGGAGAAAGAUCUGAAUAUUAUCACUGAUCAAAAAAGCAAGGCAAAUUAAAGGAAAUCCUGACUAACAAAUGAUUUCCUUUGCUGGCUAGAGAACAGAAGGUCAGCUAGGUCAACCAAAAGAUUACUUUAUUCGAACAGAUGAGGAUUAUGAGUAAUCUUAAUUCAGAAGAACCAAAAUAAAACACUUCCAUGAAGGGGCAAAGAAUAACUCUUACCCAAGUAUGAUGAGUACAUAAUGUCAGGAAGGUUGCUGUUUCAAUCAAUAUAUGACAAAUGAAAUGAUAAAGGAAAUCUGGCUGGCUACAAAUGGACCAUACAAAUGCAUCACAAAAAAACUCAAAGCCUGCUGUUAUGGACUGUAAGAAA